rnacentral:rRNA from 1 species
UACGAAGGGGGCUAGCGUUGCUCGGAAUCACUGGGCUUAAAGGGCGCGUAGGCGGCGUGUCAAGUCAGGCGUGAAAGCCCCGGGCUCAACCUGGGAACCGCGCUUGAGACUGGCAUGCUCGAGUUCGGGAGAGGAUGGUGGAAUUCCCAGUGUAGAGGUGAAAUUCGUAGAUAUUGGGAAGAACACCGAUGGCGAAGGCAGCCAUCUGGACCGACACUGACGCUGAGGCGCGAAAGCGUGGGGAGCAAACAGG